rnacentral:lncRNA from 1 species
UUAUAUAUAUUUUCCAAUCCAAAAUAAAUGGAAGAAAUCAAUGGAAUUGAAGAAGAAAUCCAAAACCAGGCUACAGUCAAGGCUCUUUACAAAGCAAUGGCUUCCGGAGAUACCAAACUAGUCUCCGGAAUCUUAGCCACCGACCUUGAGUGGUGGUUCCACGGCCCUCAAAAUUGCCACCACAUGAUGAGGAUGCUCACCGGAGAAGCUCCACACACGGAGUUCAACUUUGAACCCCGAAGUGUUACAACCAUCGAUGAUCAUACAGUGAUCGUUGAGGGUUACGAAGGUGCAAACGUGUAUUGGGUACAUGUUUGGGUUCUAAAAGACGGGUUAAUAACCCGGUUCAGGGAGUAUUUCAAUACGUGGCUCACAGUUAAGGAGUUGAGGGUGAGGCCGGUUGGUUGGCCACUUGGCUGGGCGGGGAAGGAGAACCGGUCCACUGUCUGGCGGAGCCAACCUCGAGAUCUUUUCCGACGGUCGUUACCGGGGCUAAUGCUUGCCAUUUGACAGUGGUUUAAAGUGGCCAACAACUGUGUUUAUAUCAGAAUUAUCUACGAUUGUUGUGACAUGAAAAUAUUUGCCAGAAUUCAACUUCAAUUGUAUUAAAUUUUGGAUCUAUAUUGUGUAUCAUGAAAAAUGCAUUUGGAUUUAUAUUCCAGAAAUGUAUUAUUACCUUUUAUAAUACUAUGUUUAAUGGACUACCAAAAAAACUACGAUAAAAACUAAAGAACUACAUUAAACUAGCUUUAUAAUAUUACUAGUUAUGAAACCCGUAUAUUAUACGGGUUAAUUAAAACAUAAUGUUAAACAGGAGCGAUUAAAUGAAGAGUUAUUUGAAUUCGAAAUAUGAAAUAAGUGAAAAUUAUGAAAAAAAAACAUACAAAAAAUAAAUUAAUUAAAAUUAUGUGUUUAAUUGUUAGACCCGUAUACUAAACGAUUUACUAUAAUAAAAUUUUAAAUACAAAUGUUUAAAGUGUAAAUUUAUUUGAAAUUGAAAUUGAAAUUUCAAAUUUGAAAUUAAUAGUUAUUAUAGUAGGUUAAAUUUAUGGAAACUAAAUUAAUGAUAUAGUGUAAAUGAAUAAUAAAGUAAUUGACAAGUGGAAAAUAAAUAUAUUUCAAAAUUAUGACAAAAUAACAUGUGGCCAAAUAAAUGAGAGAAUGACAAGUGACAAUAACAUUUUCAUUUAUUAAGAUAGAUUAUGUUUGCAUUAUCAUUUUAGAAAAAUGUAGACAUAGUCUCCCUAAUUUGAACUUAUGUUACUUGGAAACAUCAAAUACAUCGUCACAUAUAUAACAUUUUCAUAACUCACAUAUACUCUCAUACAAGAAACUUAAAUAAGAUAAAAUAUCAAUGUAAUUUAUUUUAAUACAAAAAACAAACAAUAUAUUAUAAAAUAUUUGUGCAAGACAACAUAUUCGUCCCAAAUUAGAACAAGGAAGAAUCUUUUCAGGCGGAAGGUAAGAUAAAUAGUAUUCAUCAUAAUUUAAAAUUGCAUUAAAUGUCAACAGUAACAACAUUUUUUUAAUUGUUUCUACUUUUUAUAAAACUAUUUUCUUUUUAAUUAAAAUAUGGUAUUUUAAAAAUUAUCAGUUGUUUUAGUACUAGUUUAUAAUUCAUAUUUAUAAAUCAGUUGUAGGUCCUAUGAAAUAUGUAAGUAUGUAACUAUAUAAUCUCACAUGUAUCUUAAUCCACAGUUAAAAACGAAUUGAGUUAAUCGAGCUCAAACUCAACUAUAGGUCAUAUGAUCGUAUUAUUUUGAGAUUGAGUUCGAAUGCAAACAAAGAGCUCGGAAUAUAUAAUGAAUGUAUCUCAUGCUUAGAAAUGAUUGAUAGUCGGAUUUUUAUCAAGUUUUCAGCUCCUCUAGUAUUUAUAUAUUUUUUUUAAAAGUCCAAUUCAAUAUGUUUUGUUUAAUAUUAUGGAUGUGAUCGAUAAAACUAUUGAUAGUUGGUAGCUAAAAGUUAAUAACCGAAAGUUAUAGUUUUUAUUCUUAUAUGAAUGUUUAGUAAAAUAGUUGAAAAUUUUCAUAACAAAUAUAGUUAUAUGCAAAUAACUUAUCUAAAAUAUGUCACUGAUUAAAAAAGUAAUAAAAUCGGUUUAUAAUUAUAAAAUUAUUUUUAUUAAACGCUACUUAUCAGAUGAAUAAUGAAUUUUAAAUGUUACAAUAUAAGAUGUAAACCCUCCCAUAAAUAGUAAAGUAAAUAUAAAAAAUGUUACAAUAUAAGAUGUAAACUCUGCCAUAUUACCAAAUAAAACUAUAAAUACUAAAUUAUAUAUUAAAAGUUGAUUUGUAGCAUUUUUUUUCACUGUAACAUAGUUAAAUGUAAGUAGCCCCAUAUCCUUGGAAUGGUUGGGUCCUAUUUCGUCACUCUUUCUCUCUCUACACUCUCCUAUAAAACCCCAAGACACCGCCUAUUCCAUUCAACUCACUUCUUUUUUUAUAUAUAUUUUCCAAUCCAAAAUAAAUGGAAGAAAUCAAUGGAAUUGAAGAAGAAAUCCAAAACCAGGCUACAGUCAAGGCUCUUUACAAAGCAAUGGCUUCCGGAGAUACCAAACUAGUCUCGGGAAUCUUAGCCACCGACCUUGAGUGGUGGUUCCACGGCCCUCAAAAUUGCCAUCACAUGAUGAGGAUGCUCACCGGAGAAGCUCCACACACGGAGUUCAACUUUGAACCCCGAAGUGUUACAACCAUCGAUGAUCAUACAGUGAUCGUUGAGGGUUACGAAGGUGCAAACGUGUAUUGGGUACAUGUUUGGGUUCUAAAAGAUGGGUUAAUAACCCGGUUCAGGGAGUAUUUCA